GGACUAUUGGUGUAGUGGUUAUCACGUCACUUUUACACAGUGAAGGUCCCAGGUUCGAUCCCUGGAUGGUUCA
rnacentral:tRNA from 2 species